GUGCUCCCCUCAGCAGCACAUAUAUUAAAAUUGGAAUGAAACAGAGAAGAUUAGCAUGACCCCUGCACAAGGAUGACACACAAAUUCUUGAAAUGUUGCAUAUUUUU